UGUUGAAAGAAAUACUAGAUCCCUUACCGAAACCUGAUAUUUUCUCUUUCAUUAUUCUCCUUUCUUUCCCUCAUUCUCUCACUAGACUACUAUCUCUCUCUCUUUAAAUCUUGAAAAAGGGAAGAAUGGAAAUGUGGUGAGGAAUGGAAGGGAAAGGGUCCAUUUAUAGAAUUUUGGAACCAUCAAAUUCCCACCAAGUGGUGAAAUCCGGUGAAGAGAGAGGAGAAAAAAAGAUGUUCAGCAUGCAUAACGAGAGAGAAGGGUCUCCUCCACUGGUGAUAGUGGCGCGUCACCCGAGGCGAUAUCAACGCACUACCUAAGGUUGCAGUGCCCCAGCCGACGCGUUAUAGGGUAGACUGCAGGCACAAAGCCCUCCUAUUGUGCGCGUAGGGGCUAGUUUGCACACACGCAAGGCCUGGGCACAUUGGCCACUGCGAACGUAGGCCUACUACACGCAGGCCCUAGGCACGUAGGGCCUAUAUGCGCAGGCCCUAGGCGCGUUGGGCCUAUCUACGCAGGCCUGCUGCGCUGACGGCACGUGCACAGUGUAUGAGGGCUGUCCACACACUAGGUGACGUACGGACAGCCCGCUUGCACGCGACAAGAUGCACGCAUGACCU
rnacentral:lncRNA from 1 species